UUUCUGACUCAAAUCAGAUGCAUAGACGAGAAGACAACAACUAGAGUAGGCUCAGUAGUAUCUUUCAGAGACUUAUGAGAAAAUAAACAAAGAGAACAACAGGUUCAAGGCAAAUAGAGUGUGGAAACUAAUUUGAAACACAAGGAACACAUUUAAGCACAACGCGUCACUCAAAUAAGUUCAGAAGGGAAUAGGUGACAUAAGCUUUGGAAAAUAGUAGAUGAAGCAUGCUUAGCGUUUAAAACAAAAGUCCAGUAAAGGCAAACAAGGAUUAAAAACUCUCUAAAAACCAGUAAAGGAACAUACGAGAUACACAUGUAAAAGCAUGCUAAUAGAGACCAGUAGAAGAAAUAUAUAGCACAAAAAAUAGAAGUACAUUCAUAACACGGAAAACAUAAUGACACAAGAGAAAACUAAUAAGAAUAUGGCCUAGACAGAUUCACACAAAGAAAAUAAGAAGAAGAAGAAGAAGAAGAAGAAGAUGAAGAGACAGAAGUCGUUUUGAGACUUUUCAGAAAAUCCUAAAUCGAAAACAAGCUAAUUUUGAAAUAAAAAUAGGGGCAAAAGCUUAAAAGAUUGAAGAUAGCACAGAUUCACUGCAGAUCUAGGAAAAUAAAAGAAGAAGGAACCUCAAAUAGCUUUAGGGUUUCUCUGAAAUCCUAGAAAUUAGAAGGCUUGGAAUAAAGUCUGGUCUCGAGUCGGAGAAGGCCAUAGCUAGGCUCCUAAAGCUCAAAUACGCCGGAGCGAAGCCGGAGGGGCCAUAGAACCACGGAUCUGUAGAGGAUCUCAAUGGACGCCAUCGAGGUCAGACCUUGAAAUGCCGAACACCCAUGGCGGGGGUGAAUGAAGGUGAGUACAAGCUGUCCAUGGCUUUGGAAGUCAUGAUUUUAGGUGAGAUUGAGGUCGGAGAAGGGUGAGAAGGGCUAGGGUUUCGAGACCCUUCGAGAGAGUUUGAGAGGAGGAGAGGGUUUCAAAGGUGGC
rnacentral:lncRNA from 1 species